rfam:Angiostrongylus cantonensis strain Taiwan genome assembly, scaffold: ACAC_scaffold0004635
AGGGGUAUAGCUCAGUGGUAGAGCGCUCGCUUAGCAUGGGAGAGCGCAGGGGUUCAAUUUCCCAUACCUCCA